GAUCCAAGUCUCUGUUUACGCUCAGUUUACCCGCAGCCCGCAACCCGCUUGCCACCACCUCCGCGCACGUCCACGCCGCGCCGCAACCGUGUCCCGUCCGUGAUAACGUCCAUAUCAGUGUCCGCGACUCGACGCGCCAGCUUCCAAAGUUCCGAUCGCUUGCUCCCGCCUAAACGCAACCAACUCGGCUCCAUCGCUGUAAUUUCGAAUUGUGGAUUAAAUCAAGCUCCAAUCGAUUCAGAGCCUGUAGCUGCAUCGACGCAACACCUCCAAUUAGCUGUCGUUUACGUGCCAGGAGGUUGUUGCGUAGCUCGUCGUCUCCAUCGCGGGCAUGCGCACGUCGGCGUCCGAUGCACGCUGAGCCGCUGGAAUCUGGAACGAAGCUGAGGUCGUGUCGGGAGUCCUGCUGACAUGAAAACGGAGACCCUGAGCCUGGCGACGGAGGACACGCACGACUAUCCGGACAGCCACAGUCGCACCGACUCGGACUCGAGCCGCCAUGAGCUGCUAGACGCCCACGCACACAUCGUCCAGCUGCCGCCCCUCCCGGGCGCCCCCGCCCCCGCGGAGCUCGCCUCCGUCCACGUCGUCCAGCCGGACCUCGUCACCUCCUCCGCCGAGCCCAAAGCCAACCCCAACCCCGAGCCGACCCUCCUCGAGGUCUGCGUCGCUCCGCCGCGGGAUCCCCGCCAAGAGGAUUACCCGCUCCCCUCCGAGGACACCUCUACCGCCACGCUGGCCACCUCCAAUUCCACAGAAGUUAUCACGAUGUCUUCAACAGAGACAACCAUAGCUUCGCUCGGAGGGAUUGUCCAAAGAGCGAAGACAGCUUUUCAGAGUGGUAAAACGAAACCAUAUGAAUUUAGGUACAAACAAUUGAAACAGCUCCUUCGGUUGUAUGAGGAAAAUGUUUCUGAUAUCAGUGAGGUUUUGGCAAAUGACCUCCGAAAGUGCAAGGCUGAAACAAUGAUGUUGGAGUUGAAUAUUCUCAUUGGUGAUGUGAAAAACACCUUGGCCCACUUGAAAGAAUGGAUGGAACCAGAGAAGCCCAGCAAAGCUUUGAUGUACCUAUUGGAUGGAGUUUAUAUCUACCACGAUCCGUACGGUGUUGCCUUAAUUAUGGGAGCAUGGAAUUACCCACUGCAGCUGUCCAUGUUACCUGUGGCUGGUGCCAUUGCUGCUGGCAAUUGUGUCAUUUUGAAACCAUCUGAAGUGGCUCCCUCGACAGCAAAAUUAAUGGCUGAACUUAUUCCGAAAUACUUAGAUCAGGAUUGUUAUCAAGUUGUUUUGGGCGGAGUUCAGGAAACAACAGAAUUAUUGAAAUAUAAAUUUGAUUACAUUUUCUAUACUGGCUCAACUUCGGUGGGUCAGAUUGUUCGCAAAGCUGCCAAUGAACAUCUCACUCCUGUGACUUUGGAGCUAGGUGGUAAAAGUCCCCUGUACAUAGACUCAUCAGCUAACCUAGACAUUGCAACUAAGAGGAUUUUAUGGGGAAAAUGUAUUAAUGCUGGACAGACAUGUAUUGCACCCGACUAUAUCCUCUGCACAAAAGAAAUCCAAGAGAAAUUUGUGCAAAAAGCGAAGAAAGUCCUCCUCGACUGGUAUGGAUCCAACCCGCAAACUUCUCCAGAUCUCUGUCGUAUAGUCUCUAAUAAACAUUUCCAACGAUUGUCGAAUCUCUUGAAAAAUGGGAAAGUUGCAGUUGGUGGGCAAACAGACCCUGUGGAAAAAUUCAUAGCUCCAACAAUUCUAGUUGAUGUUCAACCUACGGAUCCUAUAAUGCAAGAAGAAAUCUUUGGACCCAUUAUUCCCAUUAUCAACGUUGAAAAUGCAGCACAAGCAAUUCAGUUUAUCAACAACAGGCCGAAACCCUUAACAAUGUAUGUUUUCUCUGCAAGCAAGCAAAUACAAGACUUAUUUAUAUCGCAAACUUACUCUGGGUCGAUAUGUAUUAAUGACACAGUCAUGCACUAUGCAGUUGAGACAUUACCCUUUGGAGGAGUUGGAAUGAGUGGCAUGGGUGCCUAUCACGGAAAAUACAGUUUCGAUACCUUCACUCAUAGAAAAAGCUGUCUUGUCAAGGACUUCAAUCCGUUGGCUGAAUCUUUAGCUUCUGCACGAUACCCACCAUACUCUGAGAAAAAACUGAGUUUUAUCUCCUUCAUGAUGAAACUUCCUGCUAUCAAAAUGACAUAUCUACCCCAUGCCCUAAUGUUUGGAUUAGGUUUUGCUGCCUCUAUUGGAAUUAACUACUUACUCAAGACUAAGAGGCAGAAUUUUUUGAAGUAAUCAUUUGACAAGUUUUUAAUUUGCUGUUGGAUAAAUUCUCCAAUGUUAAUAGCAUGAAAGUUAACUCGUAAAGCUUUGAUGGGGCCAAGCUUACAACAAGGGACUGAAAUGCUUCUCAGAUGACAUCACAAGACGAUUCUCCGUCCAUUUGAGUUAAGUGAAGGACAAUGUGCACUGAGACGGUGGUGUCCUUUUUUAUACGUGUUAAUUUGUAAGAAUUUUUAUCCGAGUUUAAACCCGGUGUUAUAAAAUCAAAACUAGUCUAUGCGAUGUGGUUUUACUACGAACUUAAAUUUAAGUUACUUCUAAGUUUUUUAUAAAAUGAUUUUCUUCUCUAUUGUACUGGUUGAUAAUAUUUUUAAG